rnacentral:piRNA from 1 species
UUUGUAUUGGAAGGGCUCGUCGC